UAUGACUUAGGCUCCACAUAUAGUAAAUUACCCCAUCCUGAGUAACCUAAACCCUCGACUAACUCUUUCAAAUGAAAAAACUCAAACUUGUCUAUACCAAGGUCAAAAAAUCCUACAUUUUUACCCAUAUCAUCAAAGCCUUGUGCUUCCUUAAAUGUUCCAUCGUGAUGUAUAAAGAGGGUGAAAUUGCAACUGCAAAAAAAAAUAAAAUAAAUAAAUAAAUAAAUACACUUUCAAAAACCCAAUCGAUUAUUGAAAAAUCACACGAACAAAAUUAUUAUUCAAAUACCUCCGAUUGAAAUAACCUACCUAUCACCCAUGUCUCUACGCUCAAUUUAGUCGUGCUCUCCAACUUAAGUUUCUCAGUCGUGCUCUCCAAUCGUCGUGCUCUUCUAUGUUGAAAUCCUUCUCCGCUCUCACUGUCGGAAUAUGACCUUUGGUCUUUGUCGUUCCAUAUUACUUUGCUAGAUUAGGGUAUUUUAUUUACCAAUUAGGAC
rnacentral:lncRNA from 1 species